rnacentral:rRNA from 1 species
AACCUCCGCAAUGUGAGAAAUCGCGACGGGGGGAUCCCAAGUGCCAUUCUUAACGGGAUGGCUUUUCAUUAGUGUAAAGAGCUUUUGGAAUAAGGGCUGGGCAAGACCGGUGCCAGCCGCCGCGGUAACACCGGCAGCUCUAGUGGUAGCAGUUUUUAUUGGGCCUAAAGCGUCCGUAGCCGGUUUAAUAAGUCUCUGGUGAAAUCCUGUAGCUUAACUGUGGGAAUUGCUGGAGAUACUAUUAGACUUGAGGCCGGGAGAGGUUAGAGGUACUCCCAGGGUAGAGGUGAAAUUCUGUAAUCCUGGGAGGACCGCCUGUUGCGAAGGCGUCUAACUGGAACGGUUCUGACGGUGAGGGACGAAAGUUAGGGGCGCGAACCGGAUUAGAUACCCGGGUAGUCCUAACCGUAAACGAUGCGGACUUGGUGUUGGGGUGGCUUUGAGCUGCUCCAGUGCCGAAGGGAAGCUGUUAAGUCCGCCGCCUGGGAAGUACGGUCGCAAGACUGAAACUUAAAGGAAGU